AGUACUAAAGCUAUUUCUCCAAAAGAUCCGUACAUUUAAGUAAACAAAUAUCAAAUUAUGAAUUACAAUACUUGAAAUGCAUAUUCAUCCAACCUCACAGAUUAAAUUUUUGGGUUCACAACUUAAACUUCUUAGAGGAGAAACCUAUCACCAAAUAAGUUUAUAUGAAAUGUCGUACAAAGCCAAUCCAAAGUUCAUCUUCUUUGACACUUCAAUUUAUGAUCUAACAUUACCACAUCAACACAAAUUAUA
rnacentral:misc_RNA from 1 species